UGCAAUUAGUCUGUCAUACUGUUCUGUGUUCACAGCAAGCUCUCAGAGCACUGAGAGCUCCAAUAGCCCAGAUUCCAAUAAAAUAGAAGGAAAAUGAGAAAUAAAAUGAGCUGAGAAGAUGAGGAAAGCAAAACCUAUACCCUGCUCAACUCUAGCACUGCAGACAUGGAGAUGGGAAGAAGGAAACCCAAUUUCUACUCUCAACCCAAAGAACUGGAUGUUGCAGAGAUCCUUCUUCCUUCGUACUGCUGUGGAAAGGACAUUUAUUCUACAAAAUUAGUUCACAGAACAGUAUUCUGCAUAGGACUUAUUCUAUGCAGGCAGUAUCUCUUCACCACGUGUCAAAUUUAACUGUGCUCCC